UAGCUGGCAGCAAAUAUACUAAAACUGGAAUGAUACAGAGAAGGUUAGCAUGGCCUCUGCGCAAGGAUGACACGCAAAUUCGUGAA
rnacentral:snRNA from 1 species